GACGUAGGGCGCGAGCGUUGUCCGGAUUCAUUGGGCGUAAAGAGCGUGUAGGCGGCCAGGUAGGUCGGCUGUGAAAACUGGAGGCUCAACCUUCAGAGGUCGACCGAAACCAUCUGGCUAGAGUCCGGGAGAGGAGAGUGGAAUUCCUGGUGUAGCGGUGAAAUGCGCAGAUAUCAGGAAGAAUACCCGUGGCGAAAGCGGCUCUCUGGAACGGUACUGACGCUGAGACGCGAAAGCGUGGGGAGCGAACAGG
rnacentral:rRNA from 1 species